rnacentral:rRNA from 1 species
GUAUAAGAGACAGCAGCAGCCGCGGGAAUACAGAGGGUGCGAGCGUUAAUCGGAUUUACUGGGCGUAAAGCGUGCGUAGGCGGCUUCUUAAGUCGGAUGUGAAAUCCCUGAGCUUAACUUAGGAAUUGCAUUCGAUACUGGGAAGCUAGAGUAUGGGAGAGGAUGGUAGAAUUCCAGGUGUAGCGGUGAAAUGCGUAGAGAUCUGGAGGAAUACCGAUGGCGAAGGCAGCCAUCUGGCCUAAUACUGACGCUGAGGUACGAAAGCAUGGGGAGCAAACAGGAUUAGAUACCCGCGUAGUCCCUGUCUCUUAUAC